UACAGAGGUCUCAAGCGUUGUUCGGAUUCAUUGGGCGUAAAGGGUGCGUAGGUGGCGCCGUAAGUCGGGUGUGAAAUUUCGAGGCUUAACCUCGAAACUGCAUUCGAUACUGCGGUGCUUGAGGACUGGAGAGGAGACUGGAAUUCAUGGUGUAGCAGUGAAAAUGCGUAGAGAUCAUGAGGAAGACCAGUGGCGAAGGCGGGUCUCUGGACAGUUCCUGACACUGAGGCACGAAGGCCAGGGGAGCAAACGGG
rnacentral:rRNA from 1 species